ensembl:lncRNA
UUUUGGGGUCAACGGGGAUUUUUGAAGAGCAGAAGUGUGAUUUUCACGUUAAAUGGGGGAUUUUCCACGAGAAAAUGUGUGAAUUUGUGGAUAAUGGGGUAUUUUUGAAGAGAUAAUGCAUGAUUUUGGGGUAAAUGCAGGAUUUUCCAAGAGAAAUGGCGAGAUUUUCGGGUUGAAUGGGGGACUUUGCAAGAGAAAUUGCGAGAUUUUCGGGUAGAAUGGGGGACUUUGCAAGAGAAAUUGUGUGAUUUUUGGGAUAAAAGGGGGAUUUUUGAAGAGAAAAUGUGUGAUUUUUGUUUAAAUUGGGGGAUGUUGCAAGAGUAAAUGCUAAAGGCGAGGCGAGGCAUGCGUGGUGAGGUGAGGCGAGGUGAGGAAGGCUGAGACGAGGCGGGGCGAGGCAAGGCGAUGUGUGGCAAGGUGAGGCAAGGUGAGGAAGGGUGAGACGAGGCGGGGCUAGGCGAGGCGUGGCAAGGUGAGUUGAGUCAAGGCGAGGCAUAGCUAGCCAAGGCGAGGCGAGGCGGGGCGAGGUGGAGUGGGCUGAGGUGAGGAGGGGCGAGGCAAUGCGAGUCGUGGCAAGGCGAGGUGAGUCGAGGUGAGGCAUAGCUAGCCAAGGCGAGGCGAGGCGGGGCGAGGUGGAGUGGGCUGAGGCGAGGCGAGGCGAGGCAUAGCAAGCCAAGGAGAGGCAAGGUGAGGCGGGGCGAGGCAUGACGAGGCGUGACGAGGCGAGGCGAGGUGAGGUGAGGC